UACGGGGGGGGUAAGCGUUGUUCGGAAUUACUGGGCGUAAAGGGCUCGUAGGCGGCCAACUAAGUCAUACGUGAAAUCCCUCAGCUUAACUGGGGAACUGCGUGUGAUACUGGAUGGCUUGGAUUUGGGAGAGGGAUGCGGAAUUCCAGGUGUAGCGGUGAAAUGCGUAGAUGUCUGGAGGAACACCAGUGGCGAAGGCGGCUCACUGGACCGGAACUGACGCUGAGGCGCGAAAGCGUGGGGAGCAAACAGG
rnacentral:rRNA from 1 species